rnacentral:rRNA from 1 species
UACGAAGGGGGCUAGCGUUGUUCGGAAUUACUGGGCGUAAAGGGCGCGCAGGCGGCCCUCCAAGUCAGGCGUGAAAGCCCCGGGCUCAACCCGGGAAUAGCGCUUGAGACUGGGGGGCUUGAGUUCGGGAGAGGAGAGUGGAAUUCCCAGUGUAGAGGUGAAGUUCGUAGAUAUUGGGAAGAACACCGGUGGCGAAGGCGGCUCUCUGGACCGACACUGACGCUGAGGCGCGAAAGCGUGGGGAGCAAACAGG